rnacentral:rRNA from 1 species
CCUACGGGAGGCAGCAGUGGGGAAUAUUGCACAAUGGGCGCAAGCCUGAUGCAGCCAUGCCGCGUGUAUGAAGAAGGCCUUCGGGUUGUUAAGUUCUUUCAGCGGGGAGGUAGGGAGUAUAGCUAAUACCUUUGCUCAUUUACGUUACCCGCAGAAGAAGCACCGUCUAACUCCGUGCCAGCAGCCGCGGGAAUACGGAGGGUGCAAGCGUUAAUCGGAAUUACUGUGCGUAAAGCGCACGCAGGCGGUUUGUGAAGUCAGAUGUGAAAUCCCCGGGCUCAACCUGGGAACCGCAUCUGAUACUGGCCAGCUUGAGUCUGGUAGAGGAGGGGAGAAUUCCGGGUGUAGCGGUGAAAUGCGUAGAGAUCAGGAGGAAUACCGGUGGCGAAGGCGGCCCCCUGGACGAAGACUGACGCUCAGGUGCGAAAGCGUGGGGAGCAAACAGGAUUAGAUACCCGUGUAGUC